GCUCCUAUAUCACUUUCUUAAGCUAAUUAGCUCAGCGCAUUACCAAUCACAGGGAGAGGCCGGCUCAAGCCAAGAACUAUAUUUUCCUUCGAUUCGUGAGCAACGCACGGUGGAAAAGAGAGAGACCGCAGAGUUCAAAAUGGAUGACAAGACUGGCCGUUUUCAAGUUCAGAGCGGGUCCGACUUCCGGUUGUGAGAGGAGUGAACGAGUUCGAUGGCCCCAGGAGCGAAGCCUCUCCUAAGAGCUGCUCACAGCCAGGGUUACAGCCCGCACCCUGAGGACCGGGUGGGGACCGGGUGGUGACGACCCAGUGGACUGAGACCCAAUGGACCUCCGCAGCAAGCUGCUCCAGACCUCAAAGGACCAGAGCUUCCUCAGGAAGGACAGUCUAAUCGCGUUCCGACAUCCCCACCGCACUGACACGGCCCCUCUGAAAGACACCAGCACCCCUCCUCUUCUCACACUCUCUCCCCAAACCCAUCCAGCACCCGCACUCCCCUACAAGUUUCUCAGAGCACCUCUCUGCACCCUUGCUGUUAACGUUGAACUCUUCCACAUGUUUUCAUAUCAUAUCCAUGCUGGAUUUUCUGGUUUUAUUUGGUUGUUUUGAUCUCCGCUGUAGUUUCUCUGUAUUUUAAUAAGGGAUAUACAAGAAGUGCAUUAUUAUUAUUAAUUUGAGGAAGGCCAUCUGUUUAAUUUUCUAUUAAUUUUCCAUCAUUCAUAUUCUGUCUAUUCGAUAAAAUCAGUUUUCAUUCCAUCACUUUCCUUGUUUGCAGCCAUUUUAUUUUUUUUAAUCUGAAUGUUUUUAACUAUUUUCCUAUUUCCCAGUGUCGGUUGCAAACAUGUUUGACAUUUUUACACUGCUGUAGUGGUAUAAUAGAUUAUAAAUCUCAACGAGACCAAUUUGUGAAACAACGAUUUAGUAAAAUACAAUUUAAUGGAGGAAUCCAAUGUAUCGAUAACACGAUUUGGAGUGUUUGUCAAACUAUCACAUAUGUUGAUUAAACAUUUUUACAUUCAUUCAAAACAAUGCAUCCGCAGUAAUAAUACAAUAAUUUAUUUCCGUGAAGCAAUCAUGGCCUGAUGCUGUAAUUUCGUGAUCAGGUUUACCAAUGCCAUCGGCCCAAAUCAUUCAAGUAUAAAAGAUAGAUCACCAGCAGAAUGAUGUUGCCUAGGCACCUGUGUUAUCUGACUGUCAUCAGUUUCAUAAACUCUAAUAGGUAAACUUUAGAGGGGACUUCCAGUUAUCCAGCUAGUUUUCAGUGCACAACCAGACUAUAACGAUUGUUUGCUUAAUCCAAUUAAAAAGAUUAAAACCUAGUCUACUUUUUUCACUUUUCAUUAGGAAAUUUAACUUUUCCACUAGAAAAAUCAAUUAUUCAAUUUGAUAUAAACAGACGCAGAUUAGGAAUUUCCCAAUAACGAAAGAUCCCUGCACCCUAACCCUAACCCUAACCCUAACCCUAACCAUAACACCUAGCGAAACAAAAAUAAAAUAACUAAAAAAAGUAGUAAGCCAACGGGCUCCGAGUCUGAAUGCAGAGAGGAA